rnacentral:rRNA from 1 species
AUUGAACGCUGGCGGCAGGCCUAACACAUGCAAGUCGAGCGGAUGAGUGGAGCUUGCUCCAUGAUUCAGCGGCGGACGGGUGAGUAAUGCCUAGGAAUCUGCCUGGUAGUGGGGGAUAACGUUUCGAAAGGAACGCUAAUACCGCAUACGUCCUACGGGAGAAAGCAGGGGACCUUCGGGCCUUGCGCUAUCAGAUGAGCCUAGGUCGGAUUAGCCAGUUGGUGAGGUAAAGGCUCACCAAGGCGACGAUCCGUAACUGGUCUGAGAGGAUGAUCAGUCACACUGGAAAUGAGACACGGUCCAGACUCCUACGGGAGGCAGCAGUGGGGAAUAUUGGACAAUGGGCGAAAGCCUGAUCCAGCCAUGCCGCGUGUGUGAAGAAGGUCUUCGGAUUGUAAAGCACUUUAAGUUGGGAGGAAGGGCAGUAAGUUAAUACCUUGCUGUUUUGACGUUACCGACAGAAUAAGCACCGGCUAACUUCGUGCCAGCAGCCGCAGUAAUAC